CCCCCUCUAACCCUAGACAUCACCUAGCUCUCCCUCCUCCCCUCCGCCGCCGCCGCCGCCGCCGCCGCUUCGCCUCCUUCCUAUGCUGCCUUCCGCGCGGAGCUCAGCUGCUCGUGGAGGCAGAGCCGUGCCCGUCUCAUCCCCUGCCCGUGCAAGCAGCUAGGUAGGACGAUUUGAGCGUGGUGUUAGGCCGAACCGCUGAAGGAAGAUUGCUCCACUGUUGACUGCAUUAGGAUUCAAUCCUUGCUGCUAAAUGUAUUGCUUAUAUUCAGCAAUAUAAUGUUCAGCAGCAAGAACUGGAUCUUAAUAUAGUCGAUAGUGGAAGAACGGUAACAUAUGUGGUUUGCAGCAGGUGAGCAGGAUGGGUGUGGAUGAUUGAAUAUCUCUGUUCAGUGUUUUCAUCAUCUGACUGAACACUGAAUCAGCUUGCUGACGUUAGAGGUUUCAGUUUACCUAAUUUAUGGUCUGUACCCAUGAAAAGUGGGAAAAGGCUGAAGAAUUCGAUUUCUUUCUUUCUUUCAAUGUUGAGCACAGCUACACAGGCAUCCAACCCAACAUCAUGUUGUUCAACAUGAUAUUUGUCUGCCUAUGCAAGAAGACCAGGGCUUUGGAAGCCUAAAAAGUCUUCGACCAGAUAGGAUCUUAGGGUAUGAAACCCGACGCGUUCUCGUGUGCUGCAUAUUGUUUAGCUUGUAAGAUAGAUGAAGUAACCUGACCUAUAAUCAGUUAAAUGCCCUAUAAUCUUGAAUUAUUGAUUUAUUUAUGGCUUCAGCUUUCAGUAACAGGGCUUUUAUUACUGUAACCAUAUAAUCCAACAUAGCAGAUGAGUUGACAGGCAGGUUCUUGUCUUCACACUGUUGAAAUAAUAAAAUUUGUUUCCUUGGUUUCUUCCUUUGUGAAAUUAUCGAAGGGAAUUAUCAACUUAAAUUAUACUGUAUUCAGAAGGUAUAGCUGAGAUGCCAAUGAAAUAUAGCAAUGAAUAAAUUAAAUGUUUUUUUCUUGUAAUGUCAGUUUGUGGCUUAUUUACAUUGCAUUUUUUCUUGGUUUUAAACAUUUCAGUUGGCAUUUGUAUCUAUAAUUCGAUGCUUCUAAUAGUCAUUAGCACGCCUACCUGUAGUACUUUCUGGAAGACAAAGCUUGAAACUGAGCUUGACUAGUAUACUUCUGCUGCUUGCUUUCAUAUGGAAAUUUAUUUGGAACCCAUAAUCAUGUAAUAUUUUACAUGCACCUUAAGCACACUAACCUGUUCAAUUCAUUUUUUCCCCUUUUCUAGAUGCUUCGCAUACAUCUUGCAAAUGGGUUGUUACAGGCUCUCUGGAAUCAGCAUUCACCAUUCAGGAACAUCUUGCAAAUGGGUUGUUACAGGCUCUCUGGAAUCAGCAUUCACCGUUCAGGAACCAAUAACGUUUUGUACUGCCAAGUGCCAACUAUUAUUUCCUUUGUUGUUAUUGCUUAAAAAAGAUGGUUAUACGAGUCACAGGCCAUAUUUUAUACUGGCAAAGUCUUUUUUUCGUAUUUUUCUCCUUGGAUGAGAAUAUCGCCUUUCCUUGCUGAACCCGUUACCUGGUUGCAACACCGGAACAUUGCAUUCGACUCAGCUAAUGGUACACAUCAGUUUUUGACGGGAUGUCUGUAUGAUUGGAGUACCUCCACGGGUCUUUCAGUCCACCAUUGAUCUUGAUCCAUAGAGAUGUGAAGACCCAGAACAUCCUUACUGCAAAUUGUGAGGCAAAAAUAUCUGAUUUCAGGCUGAGCAGCCAGCGCUUUCUGCAGUGAAACCAAAACACACACCACCACUGAUCCUACUGCCACUCUUGGAUACUUGGACUCUAUGCAUUUCCUCACCCCUAAGUAAUAAUAAUUCAUUUGGGGUAACCAGCAAAUAGAUAAGAAAUUGGUGAUUGUUUACCAUGAGCAGGUACUACAAAACCUCUCCUCUCGACAUCGCAGUGAAAAGAGCGAUGGCUUUGGGGUUGCUCCCUUAGUGCUUAUCAGCUAUCACAGCUCAACCAACGAUCAUCAGCAUUGUGAAAUUUGGUGCAGAACAGCCUUUCUGAAGGACAUUGCUGACAGCAGCAGAAUAACUGAGCAAGAGGAAAUUAUGAUAUAAACUCUGUAUGAAGGUGUCCGAUCUGGCUUUGCAUUGCACAAAGCAACGCAUUGUGGAAGGUUUUAUGGGAGAGCUUGUACCUGGAAGACCUCGUCCUGUUACUACGAGGUGCAGCUCCAAUGGUACGUUUGCUGACGCUAAGUUGGGGCACUCGAGUCAGAGAAAAUUAAUUAGAGAAACAUCAGCAAGGGAACACAGCUGAUUUUCCUACGGUGCUAAUUUUUCAUUUGAUAUAGGAGUAUGAAACAUUGGUGAAUUGUUUAAACUUUAGUAAAGACCUACAACCUAUUUAAUCUGGCGAUAAAAAUCU